CCUACGGGCGGCAGCAGUGAGGAAUAUUGGUCAAUGGGCGCGAGCCUGAACCAGCCAAGUAGCGUGAAGGAAGACUGCCCUACGGGUUGUAAACUUCUUUUGUAAAGGAAUAAAGUGAGGCACGUGUGCCUUUUUGUAUGUAUUUUAUAAAUAAGGCUCGGCUAACUCCGUGCCAGCAGCCGCGGUAAUACGGAGGAUCCGAGCGUUAUCCGGAUUUAUUGGGUUGAAAGGGAGAGUAGAUGGGUUGUUAAGUCAGUUGUGAAAGUUUGCGGCUCAACCGUAAAAUUGCAAUUGAUACUGGCAGCCUUGAGUACAGGUGAGGUAGGCGGAAUUCGUGGUGUAGCGGUGAAAUGCGUAAAUAUCACGAAGAACUCCGAUUGCGAAGGCAGCCUACGAAACUGCCACUGACAUUGAUGCUCGAAAGUGUGGGUAUCAAACAGGAUUAGAUACCCCGGUAGUC
rnacentral:rRNA from 1 species